UGAUCACUUCCCCUGGGCAUGGCCUGGUAAAUGCAGCUCAGAUCCGCUCCCCAGGCAAGUCAAGGAAGUUGCUGCCCAGAAACCAAGUGAGGACAUUUACAAGAACUGGCAGCAGCAGCAGCAGCAGCAGCAGCAGCAGCAGCAGCAGCAACUGGAUUUGCUUUUUCACCAGAGGAUCCAGAUUUCCCUGUGGCCUCGCAAACAAAAAAGAAGGAAGACGGAGCAGCACAGUCAUCCCUUUGUGAAAAAGGCAUUCAGGUAACUGAGUGACUCAGCAAGCCUGGGUCUUGGGGAAAUUACGAAUACCUGGUUGAAGGGCAGUCCUCAGGCAGAGCCCCUGAGACCCGUUGAACUCUAGAGUGUGGGAGCAGAGGAGAUUCAGGGCCUGCCCAGGGGCAGAGUGCCCCCAGGACUCGCCCUGGCUCAGUUAAGGACUCCCCUCAGGAUCUGCAGAGGUGCAAGGCAGGGUGCAGCUCUGCCUGGACUGAGCUGGAAAUGCAGCCGUGUGGCUGAAGUGGCCACUUCCUGCUUUCUGUAAAGCAGCCACGGGGACCUGUGAACAGGUAUUUCAGGACAGCCAGGAGGGGGCGCACAUCCGCCGAGAAACUGUGAGCAAGAGCGUCUGUGCUGAACCAUGGCGCCACCAGAGGGCGCGCGAUCCCGCCCCAACCAACUUCCCGCUGAGGUGCCAGAAGCAGCGAGGAGCUUCAGCUUCCUCAGGGCAGCACGAGGGUCGUGUUAACUUGGUGUUCUUCAUUGGUUCCCCAACAGUUAUUGCUGUACCAGAUUUGCAGUGUCCCACAAAAUACUCCGGUAUGUUGUACUGAAAGCAUGGACACUCUCCCAGGUAACUACCACAUAACCCCUAGAUCAGGAAAUCAGCAUUGUUCCUCCAUGAUAAUUCGGUCCACAAACUCACUUCACUUUUACCUCAUGCCACACUUGGGAGUAUAAUGUGUAUUUUUUUUUUUUUCAUUAGGAUCCAGUUUUCUUUUCCUGGAACUGUUCCCCAGACUUUCCUGCGUAUUUAUGACCUUGACACAUUUAAAGAGCAUACAGGUUUUUGUUUGAACAGUUGUUUUCAGGUCUUUGGGGUAUAUACCUAGGAAUGGAAUUAUUGACUCAUAUGGUAAAUAUAUUUGUAACUUUAUGAGGAAACAUCAAAUUAUUUCACACGUAGGCUGCACCAUUUCAUAUUGUCACAAGCAGUGUUUAAGAGUUCAAGUUUCUGCACAUCUUUGUCAACACUUGUUAGUUUUUAGUAUAACUAUUCUUGUGUGAGUUAAGGGUUAUCUCUUUAUGGUUUUAAUUAUGGUAAUGAUGCUAAGCAUCUUUUCAUGUGCUUGUUGGUGAAGUGUGUAUUAAAGUCUUUUGUCAAUUUUUAGAUUGGGUUGUCUUUGCUAUGGAGUUGUAAAAGUUCUUUAUACAUUCUGGAUAACAGACACUGAUGAAGUAUCUAAUGUGCAGACAUUUUCUUCCAUUUUAUAGGUUGUUGGAACGUAAUAAGAGUUAAUGUGUGGUCUCUGCUGCAGUGUCCUGAAACAGAGCGCUAAGCCUUGGGAAUGUACGAAGUAAUGUGUCUUUCGUAUGCUAAUGAAAUGAUUGAUGGCUGGGGGCACCUGGACAGCCUCAGUGGGUCUGGCUGCCAAGGGAAGCAACCUUGUCAUGAGAGGAUUUGAAAUUUCUUCCCCCGUCCCGUCUCUGUGAAGGGGAGAGGUGCUGAUGGUUGAGUUGAUCACCUAUGGCCACAGACGUAACCAAUCUGCCUGUGUAAUAAAGGACAGGGUUGGGAGAGCAUCUGUGUUGCUCUCCCAACACAGGAGAUACUGGGAGGAUCAUAUCUGGCGAGGGCAUGGGAGGCCUGCAUUCCUUCCAUAUACCUCACCUUGUGCAUCUCUUCAUCUGGCUUUUCAUUUGUAGCAUUUAAAAGAUCCUUGGUAAUGAGUCAGGAAUAGUAAGUACACUGCUUUCAUGGGUUGUGUAAUGUUAUGUAGCAAAUUGCUGAACCCAAUAAGGGUAUUGUGGGAGCCUCCAAUCUGUAGCAAAGUCAGACAGAAGGUAACCUGGGAACCUACUGUUUGUGGUUGGCAUCUUAAGUGGUUACAGUCUUGUAACUGAGUACCCAUAUUUUCUUAAAGAAGAAAUGAAUUAGUUUUACCAUUUUGCUGUUCCUGCAUUUAGCUCUUUAGGAAUGCAAUUAUAAGCUUUACUGUCUCUCCACCAGACACUUCCUAUACUGCAAACUUUUCCAACUGUGUGAUUACUUGUAAGUUCCAGGGACCAAACCUUGAAACAAACUGGCACUUCCCUAUCUCUCCCCCACCAGGAGAUUGGCAGCAGACAACAGUCAAUUUACAACCUGGCUCUGCCCGUGGUGGUGCUAGCAAGACCACCUAAUGGAGAAAACAUCAGAGCAUGUCCCAUAGACCCCGCACCUCCUCACCUCAUCCCCUGCAUGCCAUUCUGGCAAGUCCGAAGCCCCGCUUUCUGCCCAGAAAGUGGAAGCGCUUCCCUUAAGGCAAGAGCCUGUAUGUUCCCUUCAGCUAAGCUCUGGCAUAAAGUCACUUUCUUUUUACCAUCCUUGUGUUUGUCAUUUAAAUUUGCAAGCAACAAGGGGCAUGACGUGUAUUCCUAGGACUGAGCCCUUAGCCUGUGGGGUCUGAUGCUUUCUCCAUUUACUGUCACAAUUGGAUUGCACUGUAGGACACCCAGCUGGUACCCAAGAUUUGGUCUGUGUGGGGAAAAAACCCAUGUAUCUGGUAACAGAAGUGUUCUGUGUUGAGUGUUGAGAGUAUACUAUAAGACAGUUGUUUUUCCUAUUAUAACAUUUUGUCUUUCAACUUUUUUCUUCAUGUCUUCUGAGACAUAAAAGUUGUGAAUUUUGAGGAAAUAAAUUGAUUUAUUUUUCCUUUUGUGGUCUGUGCUUUUGGUGUCAGAUGUAGGAAACUAUUGCUAUGUGUAAGGUCAUGAAUGCUUAACUGUACGUUUUCUUCCAGAGUUUUUAGUUUUCACCUGUUUUGGUCUUUGAUCCAUUGUAAGUUAAUUUUUUAUGUGGUAUGAGGUAAGGAUACAAUUUCAUUUCCCUUUAUGUGGAUAGCAAGUUGCCUUACAUCACUUGUUGAGGACAGGAUUCUUUCCCCAAUUUACUGGUAAUGGACCUUGUCUAAAAUCAGUUGAGCAUAGAGGUAUUGUUUUCUGUCUGGACUCCCAAUUCAAUUCAGUUGAUCUUUCUGUUUAUUCCUGUGCAAGGAUCCCACUGUUUUUAUUACUGUUCCUUUGUAAUAAAAUUUGAAAUUGGGAUGUGAUCAGGAUCAGCUUAUCCACUUCUGUCCCAAGGCCUUUGGGAUUUUUGUAGGAAUAACAUCGAAUCCACGGAUUGCUUUGUGUACUUUGGGAAACUUAACAAUGUGGUCUACAAAUCCACAAAUAAGAUACAUUUUUACAUUUAUUGGAAGUUUAAUUUCCUUAAGUAAUGUCUUAUAAUUUCCCUCAUCUAAGUCUUGUCGUUUCAUUCCAUUUAUUCCUAAGUAUAAUAUUGCUAUUGGUAUUAUUUAAGGUAGAAUUUUCAUAAUUUGGUUUAGAGAUUAUUCAUUCCUAGCAUAUACAUAUAAAAUGGAAUGUUUGGCCAGGCACCCGGG
rnacentral:lncRNA from 1 species